rnacentral:rRNA from 1 species
CCAUAUGAUCCUUAAUGCACAUGCACGUGAUCUCUGAUCUCAGAAGCUAAGCACUGUUGGGUCUGGUUAGUACUUGUAUGGG